rnacentral:rRNA from 1 species
UACGAAGGGGGCUAGCGUUGUUCGGAAUUACUGGGCGUAAAGGGCGCGUAGGCGGUACUUCAAGUCAGGCGUGAAAGCCCCGGGCUCAACCUGGGAACCGCGCUUGAGACUGGAGAACUAGAGUUCGGGAGAGGAUGGUGGAAUUCCCAGUGUAGAGGUGAAAUUCGUAGAUAUUCGCAAGAACACCAGUGGCGAAGGCGGCUCACUGGCCCGGUACUGACGCUGAGGUGCGAAAGCGUGGGGAGCAAACAGG